rnacentral:lncRNA from 1 species
ACACUCAGCGCUCCGGGAGCCAGCAGGGCCUGGAGGGCCCACCUCCUCCUCAGCCUUAACCCUUGCCUGCCCACCCCAACCCCUCGUGGAAUGGGGGGAUGGUGGUUGGUUUUGAAGUCAAACAGAUAUUGUUUCAGCUUUAAGCUUUACCAUGCCACAUUUCUAAACUUCGGUUUCCUAAUCUGUACAGUGGGGAUAAUGAUGCCCGUCCGGCUAGUGUACAAAAUUGGAUGAGGGCAUUGCAAAAGGACGUGAAUGGGCCACAACAUCUAAAGGAACUGGGGCACCUGGGAGUUUUCAUUUCCAUUAUUUCACUUGGAGCCAGUGGUUUUCAGAGCGGGGGGCCAGUGGCACCACAGAGCUGCCUGUGAGUAGAAGGGGAGAUGCAUCUGUCCUGUUGUGGGUUAAAUUGUGGCCCCCCCAACCCUCCCCUGCCACAAAAGAUAUAUGAGAGUCCUAACCCCUGGGAACAGUGACCUUAUUUGGAAAUGGAGUCUUUGCCGAAGUAAUCAAAUUCAGAUAAGGUCCUAUUGGAGUAGGUGGACGCUUCAUCCAAUAUGACUGCUGUCCUUCAAGAAGACAGAAAUGUGGAAACAGACACACAGAGGGAUCGCCAUGUGGGAUGCACAAGGGAACACCAUGAGAGACUGAGUCAGACACUGGAGUGAGCAGCUACAACCCAGGGAACCCCAAGGAAUUGCUGGCCACCACCAAAGCCCAGAGAAGCAGGGCAAGCCUCUACCCAGGGUUUCAGAGGGAGACGGCCUUGCCAGUCUCUUGGUUUCAGACUUCCAGCCCUCAGAUUGUGGGAAAACACAUUACUGCUGUUUUCAGCCAUACAAUUUGUGGUACUUUGUUAGGACCACCUUAGGAAAUGAAUAUGCAUCCUAACAGGACAACUUCGAUUCCAAGUCUCGUGUGGUGGGGCCAAAGAGCCCUUGCCCUGGAGUCACACAGACCCUGAUGUGCAGUGGGGAUCCCACCAUGCUGAACGACUUGCCCCAUUCUCCCAGAGCUACGGGACCACGAUGCCCCCCGUCACAGGUUGGAGGGAAAGAGUGAACGAGGUCCGGGCACGGUGUCUCUCGCCUGUAAUCUCAACACUUUGGAAGGCCAAGAUGCGUGGAUCACUUGAGGGAUAAAAAUAGAGUUGCUGUGAAGAUGAAGUAAAUGAAGACAUGCUGAGAACUCAGAACAACGCUUGGCAACAGUAAUUGUUUAAUACGUGCUAUUAUUAACAAGUAAUAGUCUUUCCCA